rnacentral:rRNA from 1 species
GUGGGGAAUUUUGGACAAUGGACGAAAGUCUGAUCCAGCGACGCCGCGUGAAGGACGAAGGUCUUCGGAUCGUAAACUUCUUUUGCAGGGGACGAAAGCGGGCAACCGUUUGACGGUACUCUGCGAAUAAGCCACGGCUAACUACGUGCCAGCAGCCGCGGUAAUACGUAGGUGGCGAGCGUUACUCGGAAUUACUAGGCGUAAAGCGCGUGUAGGCGGGAGGUUAAGUCUGCUGUUAAAUCUCAUGGCUCAACCAUGAAAUGCCGGCGGAUACUGGCCUUCUUGAAUUCGGUAGAGGUAACUGGAAUUCCAGGUGUAGCGGUGAAAUGCGUAGAUAUCUGGAAGAACGCCAAAGGCGAAGGCAGGUUACUGGGCCGCAAUUGACGCUGAGACGCGAAAGCUAGGGGAGCAAACAGGAUUAGAUACCCUUGUAGUCC